UGGCCGCCAUUACUCGUGUGUCGUGCCGGUAGCUGGACGUAUACGACGCGUCGGUUCCGUGUUUCUCGUAUGUACGUUCCAAGACGUUGUGAUCGUGCGCGAAUAAUGCACGAUGCAAUAACGGAUGGUCACUCCGAUACGCGGAAGUGAUCGCAUUCGUCUGCGAGGCGCAGGCAUCACGUGAUUGUCGCGUGACGUCGUGAAGAUUUCGCGUGCGUCUGUUCGCUCGGCAACAAACGGUUGCGGUGGAAUAUCACGAAUGUCGCGUGAUAAACGUCGUGUUAGAUCGGGAGUGAGUGUGCUUCGUUUCUACGCAUCAUGUUUACGUUUGUAUUCGGACGACUCGCGUCAUUAUUGUCUCGACCGAUGUGACGCGCCGGCCGCUCGUUUCUCCUUGGCCCGUCGUGUUUACUGUCGUUCGAUCGGUCGUGUUGUACCUUCCGCGUUUUCGAAAGUUAUAUACGUCGCUUGCGAACGUAGCAGCGGACGAUUAAGAAUAAAUGAUAACGCACGAAUCGUGUAGCACGAUGCGUAGAAACAAUCGCGUUCUAAGCUUUGUUAGCAUCUAUCGCAACGCGACAAGCUGGAUUCUCGCUAAUUCUUACGUGUGUUUGCGUAUCUUAUUUACGUUCGCGUGUGAUGUGUUAGGCCGGUAUUACAUUUAUCGCACGAUUCGAGGAGAGCAGCAAACGAAAAGACAAUAUCUGUGGAGCAAUUCGAGGGGAAUCAACAGGAAAGGACAUACAGCAGCAGCAGCAGCAGCAGCAGCAGCAGUCACAAUAACAACUGAAUGACAUUUGUGGAGCAAUGUCGACUGCCACUACUGCUGAUGUCAGAGAUUAUGUCAGGUGGAUUUUGCAUCCGGCUCGCAGCAAUCGUGGUGACAGUUCUCGAGGGAAUUUUACCGGACCUCAACAAGUGAUAUUUACAAGUCGACAAGCAGCGGGGGACAGUUUGUUACAACCCUUUCGGAAAUAAUAAAAAAAAAAAAUUUCAACGGAAGGAUUCGUGUUCCGCGGCUGUGCUGGCAGAGUCGGGUUGACGGCUGUUUAAUAUUCGCGCGAGAAACGACGGCCGGAAUUAUACGCGGAGCUGGAAUAUAAAUAUCGAUCAAACGCGAUAAAAAUUGAAAGCCUACGGAGGGAAAACCGGAGAGAUCCGCUUUCCGGUUACGUUACAGAAAAGUCGAGUGCGCUUCAAUGUCUCUCUUUCUUUGUGACAUUUUUAUGCAUUUAGGGGAGAAUUGCCAAAUACAUUUAAGAUAUUUUUUAUUAUAUUUCAUAUAUUUGCUGCUAUUAUGGAUACAAAGUUCAAAAUUGUAACGCGAUAUCAUCUAAUAUUACAUGUUAUACCUUUCAAAUUAAUUUAUUAUUUUGAAGUUUUGUGCUGCGAAAGGCGUUUAAGAACCCGAUUGCUUAAAGCGAUCCUCUAAAUCAUAUCAUGCUUCGAAAAUAUCGAAUUUAUGAAUUAAAGUAAUUAAAAAUAAAAGAAACCA